GGUUAUUAGCUGUGAGAUGGCGUGGCCGGUACACUGGGGCCUCCUCCUGCUCUGCAUAGUGAUCCUCUACUGCCAACCAGUGUCCACCGGCAACCGCAGCCCCCGGGGGCAGUCAGGUUCAUCACGGAUAAAGACAGGUACCUGUAAAGUGGUGGACGCCCAUCGCUGCUGAAAUAAGAACAAGAUUGAGGAGCGCUCUCAAACAGUCAAGUGUUCCUGCUUCCCUGACCAGGUCGCCGGGACAACAAGGGCAAUGCCCUCUUGUGUUGAAGCAUCCAUCAUGCGUCAGAAGUGGUGGUACCAGAUGCAGCCCUGUUUAAAGGGAGAGGAGUGUAAAGUACUGCCUGAUCUCACUGGCUGGUCCUACAGCUCCGGAAACAAAGUCAAGACCACCAAGAUUAGUUUAUGUGAAGGGACAGUAAAGGAAAUUACAUUAAUGACUUUGAAUUCAUGCAUUAUUACAGUACAGUUCGAAGGCAAUGAAUCCGACCUGUUAAGAAAACAAUCAUUAAAUGACAAGCAAACUACACAUCUGUUUCAACUAGCAUUACAUCAGGGAAAUGGCACCAAUGAUACA